rnacentral:rRNA from 1 species
UACGAAGGGGGGCGAGCGUUAUUCGGAAUCACUGGGCGUAAAGCGUGCGUAGGCGGUUUUGUAAGUUGGAAGUGAAAGCCCAGGGCUUAACCUUGGAAUUGCUUUCAAAACUACAAGACUCGGAUUCGGGAGAGGAUAGCGGAAUUGUCAGUGUAGCAGUGAAAUGCGUAGAUAUUGACAGGAACACCAGUGGCGCAAGCGGCUAUCUGGACCGACAUCGACGCUGAGGCACGAAAGCGUGGGGAUCAAACAGG